rnacentral:rRNA from 1 species
GACGAACGCUGGCGGCGUGCUUAACACAUGCAAGUCGAGCGGUAAGGCCCUUUCGGGGGUACGACGAGCGGCGAACGGGUGAGUAACACGUGGGUGACCUGCCCUCAGCUCUGGGAUAAGCCUGGGAAACUGGGUCUAAUACUGGAUAUGACUCCACGGUGCAUGUCGUGGGGUGGAAAGCCUUGUGCGGCUGAGGAUGGGCCCGCGGCCUAUCAGCUUGUUGGUGGGGUGANGGCCUACCAAGGCGACGACGGGUAGCCGGCCUGAGAGGGCGACCGGCCACACUGGGACUGAGACACGGCCCAGACUCCUACGGGAGGCAGCAGUGGGGAAUCUUGCGCAAUGGGCGAAAGCCUGACGCAGCGACGCCGCGUGAGGGAUGACGGCCU